ACUCUUCAACCCACCGGUUUCUAGUUAAACUGCCGUGGUGUUUGGAUCUUGAGCGUCUGCUUUUCUUUUUGGAAAGCUCGUUCGUAAUGCAUUAGCUUUCUCGACUUUGAUCGGAUUGACUCGGCGUAAUAGAUUAUUCGCUGAGGACAAGCUUCGCGCUUGGCCGACCAUAUGUCUACCGAAGGCUUCUAAUCAGUCCUUUUGGACAUACCUUUUAAG